rnacentral:lncRNA from 1 species
UUCAUUUAAAAUUCUACUCAUUGUGUAUGGUAUCAAACUAUGAAAAUGUAACAUUUCAAACUAGUGAUUUCUAUCCUACCAAAAUUGCAGUACUUAUUUAGGUUUUGAAGUAGAUAGGAUCAGUGUUAGAGACAGCAUGGUGUAGCAAAAAAGAAAAAAAAGAAAGGAAAGAAAAGAAAAGAAAAUAGAUUGAAAUACCUGUGCUGUAGUUUCUUCUUUUAUUUCGUCAUUCAAUCUGCGAGCGUUUACACAAAGCCUAAUAAUUGUAAGACAAUGAAAUAGAAGGACCCCAGAUGUUUCUAGGUAUUCUUCUUAAGAAAUGCUCAGGCUCCACAGGGUAGGAACACAGAGGCAGACACAUAAUUGAAACGUCAUAAAUGGUAUGACCUUGUGUUCAUUUGUAAUGAAAACAUAUAAGUUUAUGGGAACAUAGAGGAGAGAAAUUCAUCUCAGGAGGGUGUGGAUUAAAAAGGGGCUUAGGGGCCGGGCGUGGUGGCUCAUGCCUGUAAUCCCAGUACUUUGGGAGGCUGAGGCAGGCGGAUCUUGAGGCCAGAAGUUCGAGACCAGCCUGACCAACACAGUGAAACCCCGUAUCUACUAAAAAUACAAAAAUUAGCUGGCGUGGUGGCGCAUGCCUGUAGUCCCAGCUACUCGGGAGGCUGAGACAGGGGAAUCGCUUGAACCUGGAAGACGGCAGUUGCAGUGAGCCAAGAUCGUGCCACUGCACUCCAGCCUGGCAACAUAGCGAGACUCCGUCUCAAAAAGAAAAAAAAAAAAAAAAAACAAAAAAAGCGGGGGGCACUAGGGAAAGCUUCCAAUAAGCAUCAGCACAUGAAUUAAGACUCGAAGUCUUCUCUUACACCAGGGAAUUGAGCCAGUUCAAGGGGGAAAAAAACAUUAGGGAACGGUGCCCCUUUUAAGGAGAUCAAGCAAUUGAUAUUUUCAGAGUUCAACAAGUGGCAAGACAUGAAACAAGACAACGUUGAUCAACUUUGGCUAACUUUAGGAGAAAAAAAAGUGCUGGAAGGGUACAGGAUGGCUCAUAGAGAGUCUUACAGCCCUCAUUAAGGAGCUUGGACUUAAUCCUGAAGAAAACAAUGAACCAUCUGGAAGAUGCUAUGCUCAUAUUUAUAUUUGAAAUCAUUUAUGUGGAUUACUCUACAAAGGGUGGAUUUAAAGGAGACCAUUAGGAGUCUCCUGGCAAUGGGCUGAGGGAAAGAGGUUGGAGAAGAGCUAGGGAGUAUUGGGACAUUAAAUUUGCAAAAAUAGAACGGAAUCAAGGAUACAGGUUAGAGGACACACCAAGACCGCCCCCAAGAAUAAGGAAAACAAAGCUGGUGUGAUGGGGAAGGUGAUGAGGGCUCAAACAUGUGGAGUUUUAGGCACCUAUGGAUUUCCAGGUAGAAAUGACAGAAGAAAACUGCAUACACGAGCCAGCAACUCAGGGAGGAUUCUGGCUGAAGAGAGUCACUAGAAGUUACCAGCAAGCAGCAUAACUGCAUUAGAAGGGCAU